AGAGUUUGAUCCUGGCUCAGGAUGAACGCUAGCUACAGGCUUAACACAUGCAAGUCGAGGGGCAGCAUGAUCGAAGCUUGCUUUGAUUGAUGGCGACCGGCGCACGGGUGAGUAACGCGUAUCCAACCUUCCCUGUAGUAGAGAAUAGCCCGGCGAAAGUCGGAUUAAUGCUCUAUGUUGUAUUUCGAUGACAUCUGAAGAAUACCAAAGGUUUACCGCUAUAGGAUGGGGAUGCGUCUGAUUAGGUUGUUGGCGGGGUAACGGCCCACCAAGCCGACGAUCAGUAGGGGUUCUGAGAGGAAGGUCCCCCACAUUGGAACUGAGACACGGUCCAAACUCCUACGGGAGGCAGCAGUGAGGAAUAUUGGUCAAUGGACGGAAGUCUGAACCAGCCAAGUAGCGUGCAGGAUGACGGCCCUAUGGGUUGUAAACUGCUUUUAUAUAGGGAUAAAGUCGGGGACGUGUCCCCGUUUGUAGGUACUAUAUGAAUAAGGACCGGCUAAUUCCGUGCCAGCAGCAGC
rnacentral:rRNA from 1 species